GACGAACGCUGGCGGCGUGCCUAAUACAUGCAAGUCGAACGAGGUGUUCUUGGGUGGUAACUCCCUUGAUCAUCGAGUGGCGAACGGGUGAGUAACACGUGAGGAACCUGCCCUGAAGACGGGGAUAACAGAAGGAAACUUCUGCUAAUACCCGAUACCCCCUCCGGAUCGCAUGGUCUGGUGAGGAAAUGGAUUCCGCUUCAGGAGGGCCUCGCGGCCUAUCAGCUUAUUGGUGGGGUAACGGCCUACCAAGGCUUGGACGGGUAGCCGGUCUGAGAGGACGAUCAGCCACACUGGGACGGAGACACGGCCCAGACUCCUACGGGAGGCAGCAGUAAGGAAUAUUGCGCAAUGGGCGAAAGCCUGACGCAGCAACGCCGCGUGCGGGAUGAAGGCCCUCGGGUUGUAAACCGCUUUCAGUAGGGAAGAAAAUGACGGUACCUACAGAAGAAGCCCCGGCCAACUACGUGCCAGCCGCCGCGGUAACAC
rnacentral:rRNA from 1 species